rnacentral:rRNA from 1 species
UACGUAGGGGGCGAGCGUUGUCCGGAUUUAUUGGGCGUAAAGAGCUCGUAGGCGGUUUGGCAAGUCGGAUGUGAAAUCUCCAGGCUCAACCUGGAGGGGUCAUUCGAAACUGCUAUGACUAGAGUUCGGUAGAGGAGUGUGGAAUUCCUGGUGGAGCGGUGAAAUGCGCAGAGAUCAGGAGGAACACCCGUAGCGAAGGCGGCACUCUGGGCCGAUACUGACACUGAGGAGCGAAAGCGUGGGGAGCGAACAGG